rnacentral:tRNA from 1 species
GGCCAGAGUGGCGUAAUGGUGAGAGUGUUGGGUUAGGACCUGGGAGAGCAGGGUUCGAAUCCCCACUCAGCCA